rnacentral:lncRNA from 1 species
AUUUUUUUAAAAAGACUCAAACCCCAUGGGCCGCCGCCCUCUGCCCACCCAGAAGUUCAAAUCAUCCCAAGCCAGAUCGACCAUUUGUUAGAAUCUCACUGAUCUCACGUUCGAAAUGGUAAGAAACUCCGAGUCUUUAUAAAGUGUCGACGAAUCUCACUGUUUCAGUCAGCAUUUUACUCACUUCUUGCUUCAAUAACUUAACUCUCUCGCUGUUGUCCUCAUCUGCAUGAUCUAAAAUAUAGUAAUCAUACAGUAACUUCCUGUAUUAAUAGAUUUUCAUAUCAUACGUCGUGUAGAUUUUCGUACGUACCGCGUAUGUAUUACCCAGCGAGAGGAGAUACUCGUGCUCCCACAGAGACGGUCGAUAGUUUGCAGAGCGACGGACUUCAAGAGGCUGUGGCUGUGUUUUCGAUACAGCCUUGGGAGUGAAAUGCCUAUGAAUCUGU